AUGGCGGCAACGACGACGGCGACGUCGAGGCGGGCGCCGGCCGUCCUCCUCCUCCUCCUCCUCGCGGCGGCGUCCGCGGCUUCGGCCAGGGGCGACGGCAACGGCGUGUACGAGCCGUGCGCGGACGCGACGGUGAGCCGCGGCGACGGGUUCACCUUCGGGGUGGCCUUCGCGGGCCGCGACGCCUUCUUCUCCGGCGGCGUGCAGCUCUCGCCCUGCGACAGCCGCCUCAACCUUGCCGGCGCCGGCCCGCAGCUCGCGCUCUUCCGCCCCACCGUCGACGAGAUUUCGCUCCUCACCGUCAACGCUUCCGACCCCAAAGCCCUGACAUCUGCUGGUGGGUACAUGGUGGCCUUUGCCGGGAGGAAAUUCGCGGCAAGGUCGCCGCCCGUGUUCGUCGGCAACAGCUCGUACACAGUCACCGGCUUCACCCUGGUGUUCGAGUUCCACAAGGGCACGCUCCAGAACCUCUUCUGGAAGGCGGACGGCUGCUCGUCGUGCUCCGGGCAAGCCAACUUUGGGUGCGUCGAAAACAGCUGCGCGAUCAAGACGUCGAGCUGCAAGGGCAGCGGCGGCGGGCAGGUGGACUGCAGCCCCGGGAUCCAGCUCGCCUUCUCCGGCACCGACAAGCACGAGGCAGUGCUCAACUCGUGGUACGAGGUGUCCAAGCUGAAGCAGUACUCCCUCUUCGGGCUCUUCUCCAACCUCAAGGACUCACUUGCGGGGCAGUUCAGCAACUUCUUCUAG
rnacentral:rRNA from 1 species